rnacentral:lncRNA from 10 species
GUUGCCCAGGGUAGACUGCAGUGGUGCGAUCUCGGCUCUCUGCAACUUCUGCCUCCCAGGUUCAAGUGAUUCUCCUGCCUCAGCCUCCUGUGUAGGGAUUAUAGGUGCCUGCCACCAUGCCCAGCUAAUUUUUGUAUUUUUAGUAGAGACGAGGUUUCACCAUAUUGGCUAGGCUGGUCUUGAACUCCUGACAUCAGGUGAUCCACCUGCCUUGGCCUCCCAAAGUGCUGGGAUUAAAGGUGUGAGCCACCGCGCCCAGCCUGUGUUCAAAUUUAAAAGUAACUUUCUAACUUUAAAAAAUUAAGUCAAAGUCUAUCUUUCUUUUGAAAAACAGGCUGGUGUGGCUACACUAGACCUGUAUUCCUCCGUGUUUCCAGUCACCUGGAUCUGAGAAGUGGCUGGCCUCUUGCUUUUUUUUUUUUUUUAAAGGACAGGAUCUUGCUCUGUCACUCAGGUUGGACUGCAGUGGCAUGAUCAUAGCUCACUGUAGCUUCAAACUCCUGGGCUUAAGCCACCCUCCCACCUCAGCCUCUUGAGUAGCUAGGACUAUAGGCAUGCACACCACGCCUGGCUAAUGUUUUAAUUAAAUUUUUGUUUUUUUUGUAGAGACAGGGUCUCACUAUGUUGCCCUGGCUGGUCAAGAACUUCUGGUCUCAAGCCAUUCUCCUGCCUUAGCCUCCCAGAGUGCUGAAGUUACAGGCAUGAGCCACCCAGCCUAGCUGAUCCCUUUAAACAGGACAUUCGCUCAGGUUUGCCACAAUCACCAGUGCUCCCUAUAGCACCCCCAACAGUGAGCCCACGUCUGUUGCUGUUUUUCACUAGCCCUGGGCUGUUUGUCUGGCUCCUUGGGCAUUUGAGUUUUCAACCCCGUGUGGUGGAGUGUGGCUAAGGUUGGUCACCCUGGAGUCCAAUGACCUGAGUCUAGACUCUAGUUCUACUGACAGCCAGCCAGGGCACUGUGGGCCGGCCACUAGGUCUUCAAGUGUGCAGUGCCUACAAUGCUUUCAACCCUAGAGAGUUAUGGGGAGCAUUAGCAAGAUAAUAAUUCAUGUGAAGAAGCAGGGUUAGUCUAUUGCCUGUCACAUGGUAAUAGUAAUAUUGCUAUAUGUUAGAAAGAUAACAACAUUAUAUACACAAUAACAAUAUAACAUAUCAUAUAAUAAUUAUAAUACAGCAACAACAGCCAGCAUGGGUAGUGUAUUUCCUAUGCAGGCACUGUUCUAAGUGUUGGCACAUGGCAAUGCAUUGAAUCCUUAUAACAUACCCUUGAUGCAGAGCCUAUUAUUGGCAUCAUCUCCCCAUUUUACAGAUGAUGAAACUGAGGCCCAGAGAAGUUGAGAUGCCUGACCGUCAUCCACUAGAAAGUGGCAGAGCUGGGAUUGGAAUGCAGGCUGUCUGGCACUCAGCUGUGUGCCUUCAAUACGCCACCAGGCCAACCUUUGCUGCAGAUCUAAAGCUUGAUGCUAUCCCCAGGGAGAAGCCAAGCCCAGUCUUCUUGCAGCUUUAGUGAGUCUUGGAUGUUGGUCUUUCUGGACCAUCUUGAAUGAGCUGGGACUGGGUGGAGUGCGGGGGCUGGUAAAGCAGCAGAAGCUUGGGGAUGCUUGGAGAAGCCUGCUGAGACCCUGAGUAGCUGUGAUCUUCUGCAGAAGCCCCACCUCUGGUUCCCACUGGCCCCCAUGCCGGGCCAUCUGGCCUCUGUUCCAGCCAGGCCCCCGAGCCCCUGACAGCAUCCUCAGUGAUAACACAAUUAGGUGAUUUCUCUUGCCUAUGGGAAUUUCCAGCAGGAUGCACUGAGCAUGAUCCUUGGAUUUCCAACCUGCUGUUGCAACUUCCUAUCAGAGCUCCUCUUGCCAGGAACAAAGCGACAGCCGUCUGCUGGUGAGCUGGGCUAAUCCUGUUAAACAAUUCACAGAUCUGACGCCGGACACGCUUUUUGAAACCUGAGGAACAGGAAAGGAGAUACAGUCAUGGAGGGAAGAUGGCCAUGUGAAGAAGGCAGAGAUUGGAGUGUUGUUGCCACAAGCUGAGGAAUGUCUGGAGCUGCAGGAGCCCGGAGGAAGCCGGGAAGCAUCCUUCCCUAGUGCCUGCAGAGGGAGCCUGGCCAGCCGACACAUUGAUUUCUGACUUCUGGCCUCCAGAGCUGCGAGCUACUCAGUUUCUGUUGUUUUCAGCCACCCAGUUGUGGUGACUUGCUGCGGUAGCCCCCAGAGACCAGGACGCCAGCCCAGGGAUGAGGGUGCUGGUCCUGGGGGUGUCAAUGCACUGGCACAUCCCGCUUGACCCUGGAGUGGCCAGAGAAAGCCCUGGGCAGAGGUGUGGGCAGAGGUGGCAGGUGUGGGCAGAGGUGGCAGGUGCUGGCAGAGGUGGCAGGUGUUGCGGGAAGUCAGGGACCCCGAACGGAGGGAUGGGCUGAAGCCGUGGCAGAAGAACAUAAAUUGUGAAGAUUUCAUGGACAUUUAUUAGUUCCCCAAAUUAAUACUUUUAUAAUUUCUUACGCCUGUCUUUACUGCAAUCUCUGAAUAUAAAUUGUGAAGAUUUCAUGGACACUUAUCACUUCCCCAGUCAAUACUCUUGUGAUUUCCUAUGCCUGUCUUUGCUUUAACCUCUUAAUUCCGUCAUUUUCAUAAGCUGAGGACGUAUGUCACCUUAGGACCCUGUGAUGAUUGCAUUAACUGCACAAAUUGUUUAAACAAUUUGAAAUCUGGGCAUCUUGAAAAAAGAACAGGGUAAGAGCGAUGUUCAGGGAACAAGGGAGGUAACCUUAAAGUCUGGCUGCCUGUGGGCUGGGUGGGACAGAGCCAUAUUUCUCUUAUUACUGAAAACGGGUAAGAGAAAUAUCGCUGAAUUCUUUCCCCAGUGAGGAAUAUUAAUAAUUAACAGCCCUGGGAAAAGAAUGCAUUCCCAGGGUGGGGCCUCUGAAAUGGCCGCUCUGGGGGUGUCUGCCUUAUGCAGAUGUAGAUAGGGAUGAAACAUGCCCUAGUCUCCGGCAGCGCCCCCAGGCUUGCUAGGAUUAGGAAAUUCCAGCCUGGCAAAUUCUAGUCAGACCUGUUUUCUGCUCUUGAACCCUGACAAUGCGUGCACAGCGGGACAUGGAAGUUCAUUAGUGGAUUCUAGUUUCGCCCUGACCUUCUGCCUUGUGAUCUUUUGUCGCCCUUGAAGCAUGUGAUCCCUGUGACCCACACCGUAUCCGUGCACUCCCUCCCCUUUUGAAAAUCACUAAUAAAAACUUGCUGGUUUUGCGGCUUGUGGGGCAUCACGGAACCUGCCGACAUGUGAUGUCUCCCCCGGAUGCCCAGCUUUAAAAUUUCUCUCUUUUGUACUCUGUCCCUUUAUUUCUCAGACUGGCCGACACUUAGGGAAAAUAGAAAAGGAACUAUGUGAAAUAUCGGGGGUGAAUUUCCCCCGAUAGGCAGGUGCUGGCAGGGGGCAGGUACGGGCAGAGAUAGCAAGUUUGGGCAGAGGUGGCAGGUGCGGGAAGAGGCGGCAGGUGCGGGAAGAAGCGGCAGGUAUGGGCAGAGGGGGCAGGUGUUGGCAGGGGGGCACAAGUGGGUAGAGGGGCCAGGUGUGGGCAGAUGAGAACCUUUGGGUGGUUGCCCAGAAGCAGUCAGCACUGAGGCGAGCGGCUGCUCGGGCGAGGAAAUGCCUCAAGCUGGAAUGCAGGAAGCGUCUGCUUCAGCCCAGGUCAUCUGCAAAAAACCCGUAGCUAACCUCACAUCUAAUGGUGAAAGACAAUGCUGUCCCUGUGAGAUCAGGAAGAAGGCAAGGAUGUCCACUCACCGCUUACUCAACUGAGCACUGGAAAUUCUAGCCAGGGCUAUAAGGUAAGAAAAGUAAUUAAAAGACAUAAUUAAAAGAUAUACAGACAUAAUUAAAAGUAAUUAAAAGACAUAGAGAUUGCAAAGGAAGAAAUGAAGCUAUCACUGCAAAUGAUAUCAUCUCUGUAGACUAUUGCAAGGAAUCUACAAAAAAUAUCCUAGAACUAGUAAAUGGGUUCAUCAAGUUUGCAGGAUACAAAAGAAACAUCAAAAAACCAAUUGUACUUCAAUAUACUAGCAAUGAAUACAUGGACACCAAAAUUAAAAACACUAUGCUAUUUACAACUGCUUAAAAAUGAAAUAUUUUGUUAUAAGUGUAACAAAAUGUGUAUAGGAUUGUAUGUUUAUUUAUUUAUUUUAUUUAUUUUUUUGAGGCAGGGUCUCUCUCUGUCACCUAGGCUGGAGUGCAGUGCUCUGAUCAUGGCUCACUGCAACUUUGACCACUUGGGCUCAAGGGAUCCUCAUACCUCAUCUUCCCUAGUAGCUGGGACUACAGCUCCGUUACACUAUACCUGGCUAAUUUUUAAUUUUUUUAUAGAGGCAGGGUCUUGCUAUGUUGCCUAGGCUAGUCUUGAACUUUUGGCCCCAAGUGAUCCUUCUGCCUCAGCCUCCCAAAGUGCUGGGAUUACAGGCAUGAGCCACCAAGCCCUGCCAGGAUCGCAUGUUUACUAGUACAUAAUUCUGAUCAAAGAAAUAAAAGAAGAUCUAAAUACAUGGAGAAAUAUAUUUUGUUCAUUUACUGGAAGGCUCAACAUAGUAAAGAUGUCAUUUUCCCCUAAAUUGAUGCACUAGUUUAACCCAAUUCCUAUCAAAAUCUCAGCAAGAUUUUUUUUUUGUAAAUAUGAACAAGACUAUUCUAAAAUUUAUUUGGAAAGACAAGAGGACUUGAAUAGCUAAAACAAAUUUGAAAAAGAAGAAUAAAGUGGAAGGAGUCAAUCUAUAUGAUUUCAAGACUUAUUAUAUCGCUGUCAUGAUCAACAUUGUGUUGCAGUGGUGAAGGAAAGACAUACAGAUCGAUAACCCAGACACAGACUUGCACAAAUAUGCCCAACGGAUUUGGCAAAUGUACAAAAGCAAUUCAAUGGGUAAAAGAUAGCCUUUCAGCAAAUGGUGCCAGAGCAAUUAGCCAUUCAUAAGGCAAACAAGUUGAACCUUGAACAAAAUCUCACACCUUAUGCAAAAAUUAGCUAAAAAUGGAUCAUGAACCUAGAUGUAAACUAUGAAACUUAGGAAAAAACCUAGGACAAAAGCUUUGAGAUAUAGGGCCAGGCAAAGAGCUCUUAGACUUUGUUUCAAGAAGCAUAAUCCAUAAAAGGAAAAAUGGACUAGUUGGGCUUCAUCAAAAUAAAAACUUUUUCUCAGCAAAAGACCCAGUUAAGAAGCUGAAAAUAUAAAUUACAGAGUGGGAAAGAAUAUUUGCAAACCACGUAUUUGACAAAGGAGUAGUAUCUAGAAUAUAUAAAGAAUGCUCAAAAUUCAAUAGUAAAAAAGCAAGUCAUUCAACUAGAACAUGGCAUGAAUGAGUGAAAAGGCAUGAACAGACAUUUCCCCAAGGAAGAUAUACAGAUGGCAAAUAAACACAUGAAAAGAUGUUCAAUUUGGCUAUCCAUCAGGGGAAUGCAAAUUAAAAUCAUAAUAAGAUAUUCUUAAAUAUCUGUCAGGAUGGCUAAAAUAGGGAAAAAUUGACUAUAACAAAAGCUGGUGAGAAGGUGUCCAAACAGAAUUCCUCAUACACUGCUGGAGGGAAUAUAAAAUAUUAUAGCCAUUGUAGAAAAUAUGUUAGUAGUUUCUUAAAAAAAAAAAACUUUCAAUUACCAUAGGACCUGGCAAUUGCACUCCUGAGCAUUUAUCCCAGAGAAAUGAAUACUUGUGUUCACACAGAAACCUGCAUACGAAAGUUUAUAGCAGCUUUAUUUGUAAUAGAAACUGAAAACACCUAGACAUCCUUGAACAGUCUAUGGUUUAGCAAACUGUAGCACACCCAAACCAUGGAAUACUACUCAGCAAUAAAACUAUUGAUGUGCGUGGCAACCCGCAUGAAUUUCCAGAGAAUAUCAUGGAAUGAAGAAAGCCAGCCCCGAAAGAAACAAAGCAAGGAUGCUCACUCUCACCCCUUUUAUUCAGCUUAGUGCUGGAAAUUCUAGCCAGGGCUAUAAGGUAAGAAAAGGAAUGAAAAGACAUACAGAUUGGAAAGAAAUAAAUGUAGCUAUUCCUGUUUCCAAAUGAUAUCAUCUAUGUAGAAUAUUCCAAGGAAUCUAAAAAAAGUCUCCUAGAACUAGUAAAUGAGUUCAGCAAGGUUGAAGGACACAAAAGAAACAUCUGUACAAAACAUCUGUACAAAAGAAACAUGCUGUAUGAUUCCAUUUAUGUAAUUGUAUUAGUCUGUUUUCACACUGUUGUAAAGAAAUACUGGAGACUGGGUAAUUUGUAAAGGAAAGAGGUUUAAUUGACUUGCAGUUCCAUCUGGCUGGGGAAGCCUCAGGAAACUUACAAUCAUGAUGGAAAGUGAACGGGAAGCAAGCACCUUCUUCACAAGUCGGCAGGAGAGAGAAGAGAGCAUGUGAAGGAGGAACUGUCAAACACUUACAAAACCAUCAGAUCUCAUGAGCACUCACUCAGUAUCACUAGAGCAGCAUGGGGGAAACCACCUCCAUGAUCCAAUUACCUCCUACCAGGUCCCUCCCUCGACACGUGGGGAUUAUCAGGAUUACAAUUUGAGAUGAGAUUUGGGUGGGGACACAGAGCCAAACCGUAUCAGUAACAAAAUUCUAGAAAUGGAGAACAAAUCAGUGACUGCCAGGUGUUAAAGAGGGGUGGGCAGGGGCGAGAAGUGGGUGUGGCUAUGAAAGGGUUGCGGGAGGGACUCUGUGGAGGCAGAAUGUUCUGUAUCCUGGCUGUACCCAUGUCAAUAUCCUGUUUGUUAUAUCGCACUACAGUUCUGCAAGAUGCUACCACUGGGGGAAACUGAG